rnacentral:tRNA from 1 species
AUUCAUAUAGUUUUAAAUAAACAUUUUAUUUUCAUUAAAAAAAAGAUUAAAGUUAAUCUAUGAAUU